rnacentral:rRNA from 1 species
CCUACGGUGUGCUGCAGUAGGGAAUCUUCCACAAUGGGCGAAAGCCUGAUGGAGCAACGCCGCGUGGGUGAAGAAGGUCUUCGGAUCGUAAAACCCUGUUGUUAGAGAAGAAAGUGCGUGAGAGUAACUGUUCACGAUUCGACGGUAUCUAACAAGAAAGCCACGGCUAACUCCGUGCCAUCAGCCGCGGUAAUACGUAGGAGGCAAGCGUUAUCCGGAUUUAUUGUGCGUAAAGGGACAGCAGGCGGUCUUUUAAGUCUGAUGUGAAAGCCUUCGGCUUAACCGGAGUAGUGCAUUGGAAACUGGGAGGCUUGAGUGCGGGAGAGGAGAGUGGAACUCCAGGUGGAGCGGUGAAAUGCGUAGAU